AGAAUCAACGCUGGCGGCGUGCCUAACACAUGCAAGUCGAACGAGAAAGUGGGAGCAAUCCCAUGAGUAAAGUGGCGCACGGGUGAGUAACACGUGACUAACCUACCCUUGAGUGGGGGAUAACCUAGGGAAACCUGGGCUAAUACCGCAUAAUACCUACGGGUCAAAGGAGCAAUUCGCUUUAGGAGGGGGUCGCGGCAGAUUAGUUAGUUGGCGGGGUAAUGGCCCACCAAGACUGUGAUCGGUA
rnacentral:rRNA from 1 species